ACGCACCGCUUCGGUGGUGAGUGGCGAACGGGUGAGUAAUACAUAAGUAACCUGGCCUUUCGAGGGGGAUAACUAUUGGAAACGAUAGCUAAGACCGCAUAGGCAUAAUUCUCGCAUGAGAGUUAUGUUAAAUAUCCUAUGGGAUAGCGAGAGGAUGGACUUAUGGCGCAUUAGCUAGUUGGUGAGGGUAACGGCCCACCAAGGCGACGAUGCGUAGCCGACCUGAGAGGGUGGACGGCCACACUGGGACUGAGACACGGCCCAGACUCCUACGGGAGGCAGCAGUAGGGAAUUUUCGGCAAUGGGCGAAAGCCUGACCGAGCAACGCCGCGUGAGGGAGGAAGUAUUUCGGUAUGUAAACCUCUGUUAUAAAGGAAGAACGGCGCAUGUAGGGAAUGACAUGCGAGUGACGGUACUUUAUGAGAAAGCCACGGCUAACUACGUGCCAGCAGCCGCGGUAAUACGUAGGUGGCGAGCGUUAUCCGGAAUCAUUGGGCGUAAAGAGGGAGCAGGCGGCAACUAGGGUCUGCGGUAAAAGACCGAAGCUAAACUUCGGUAAGCCGUGGAAACCGAGGAGCUAAAGUGCAGUAGAGGAUCGUGGAAUUCCAUGUGUAGCGGUGAAAUGCGUAGAUAUAUGGAGGAACACCAGUGGCGAAGGCGACGAUCUGGGCUGCAACUGACGCUCAGUCCCGAAAGCGUGGGGAGCAAAUAGGAUUAGAUACCCUAGUAGUCCACGCCGUANACGAUGAGUACUAAGUGUUGGGGGUCAGACCUCAGUGNUGCAGUUAACG
rnacentral:rRNA from 1 species